UUAAAUAUAGUUUUUAUCCUCAUUUGCGAAAUUUUAAUCUAAGUGAAAAUACUUAGCAGUUGUACUAGGACGAGAAGACCCUAUGAAGCUGGCAAACUAUUAAUACAUAUUCCUAUUAUUUAUUAGUUUAUUUUUUGGGGUAAAAUUUAAUAAUACUAUUAACACAAUUGUACUAAAUUACAUCCUUUAGGAAUUAUGAAGAAGCUCCUCUAGGGAUAACAGCAUUAUGCUUAAAAGAGUUCUUAUCAGAAUAAGCGUUUGUGACCUCGAUGUUGAAUUAAAUGCUCUUUUAUGUGCAGGAGCUUAGAAGAGACGGUCUGUUCGACCUAUUAUAUUUACAUGAUUUGAGUUAAAAUCGAC
rnacentral:rRNA from 1 species